rnacentral:rRNA from 1 species
GGAAUAUUGCACAAUGGGCGCAAGCCUGACGCAGCGACGCCGCGUGGGUGAUGAAGGCCUUCGGGUCGUAAAGCCCUGUCAAGAGGGACGAAACCUCGUCGACCUAAUACGUCGGCGACCUGACGGUACCUCUGAAGGAACCACCGGCUAACUCCGUGCCCGCAGCCGCGGUAAUACGGAGGGUGCGAGCGUUGUUCGGAAUCACUGGGCGUAAAGCGCGUGUAGGCGGCCUUCUAAGUCUGGUGUGAAAGCCCGGGGCUUACCCCCGGAAGUGCAUUGGAUACUGGGAGGCUGGAGUACCGGAGAGGAGGGUGGAAUUCCUGGUGUAGCGGUGAAAUGCGUAGAUAUCAGGAGGAACACCGGUGGCGAAGGCGGCCCUCUGGACGGAUACUGACGCUGAGACGCGACAGCGUGGGGAGCAA